AUUGAACGCUGGCGGCAUGCUUUACACAUGCAAGUCGAACGGUAACAGGCCGCUAGGUGCUGACGAGUGGCGAACGGGUGAGUAAUGCAUCGGAACGUGCCCAGUCGUGGGGGAUAACUACUCGAAAGAGUAGCUAAUACCGCAUACGAUCUAUGGAUGAAAGCGGGGGACCGUAAGGCCUCGCGCGAUUGGAGCGGCCGAUGUCAGAUUAGGUAGUUGGUGGGGUAAAGGCUCACCAAGCCAACGAUCUGUAGCUGGUCUGAGAGGACGACCAGCCACACUGGGACUGAGACACGGCCCAGACUCCUACGGGAGGCAGCAGUGGGGAAUUUUGGACAAUGGGCGCAAGCCUGAUCCAGAAAUGCCGCGUGCAGGAAGAAGGCCUUCGGGUUGUAAACUGCUUUUGUACGGAACGAAACGGCUCUGGUUAAUACCCGGGGCUAAUGACGGUACCGUAAGAAUAAGCACCGGCUAACUACGUG
rnacentral:rRNA from 1 species